rnacentral:rRNA from 1 species
AACGAACGCUGGCGGCAUGCCUAACACAUGCAAGUCGAACGAGACCUUCGGGUCUAGUUGCGCACGGGUGCGUAACGCGUGGGAACCUGCCCUUAGGUUCGGAAUAACUCCCCGACAGGGGUGCUAAUACCGGAUAAUUUCUUCGGACCAAAGAUUUAUCGCCUUUGGAUGGGCCCGCGUUGGAUUAGCUAGUUGGUAGGGUAAAAGCCUACCAAGGCGACGAUCCAUAGCUGGUCUGAGAGGAUGAUCAGCCACACUGGGACUGAGACACGGCCCAGAAUCCUACGGGAGGCAGCAGUGGGGAAUAUUGGACAAUGGGCGAAAGCCUGAUCCAGCAAUGCCGCGUGAGUGAUGAAGGCCGUAGGGUUGUAAAGCUCUUUUACCCGGGAUGAUAAUGACAGUACCGGGAGAAUAAGCUCCGGCUAACUCCGUG